rnacentral:rRNA from 1 species
CACGUAUUUAGCCGGUGCUUCUUAGUCAGGUACCGUCAUUUUUCUUCCCUGCUGAUAGGGCUUUACAUACCGAAAUACUUCUUCACCCACGCGGCGUCGCUGCAUCAGGGUUUCCCCCAUUGUGCAAUAUUCCCCACUGCUGCCUCCCGUAGGAGUUUGGGCCGUGUCUCAGUCCCAGUGUGGCCGGUCGCCCUCUCAGGCCGGCUACUGAUCGUCGGUUUGGUGGGCCGUUACCCCGCCAACUGCCUAAUCAGACGCGGGCCCAUCCCAUACCGCUAAUGCUUUCCAUCCAGGGGCAUGCGCCCCCGCAUGUACAUGCGGUAUUAGCAGCCGUUUCCGGCUGUUAUCCCCCUGUAUGGGGCAGGUUACCCACGCGUUACUCACCCGUCCGCCACUCAGUCAAAGGCACUUCCUCCCCGAAGGGAUUCCGCUCCAGUGCUUCGUUCGACUUGCAUGUGUUAAGCACGCCCGCCACGCGUUCACUCCUGAGCCAGGGAUCGAAACUCU